rnacentral:rRNA from 1 species
UACGGGGGGGGCAAGCGUUGUUCGGAAUUACUGGGCGUAAAGGGCUCGUAGGCGGCCAACUAAGUCAGACGUGAAAUCCCUCAGCUUAACUGGGGAACUGCGUCUGAUACUGGAUGGCUUGGAUUCGGGAGAGGAAUGUGGAAUUCCAGGUGUAGCGGUGAAAUGCGUAGAUAUCUGGAGGAACACCGGUGGCGAAGGCGGCAUUCUGGACCGACAUUGACGCUGAGGAGCGAAAGCCAGGGGAGCAAACGGG